rnacentral:rRNA from 1 species
GAUGAACGCUGGCGGCGUGCCUAAUACAUGCAAGUAGAACGCUGAAGGAGGAGCUUGCUCUUCUGGAUGAGUUGCGAACGGGUGAGUAACGCGUAGGUAACCUGCCUGGUAGCGGGGGAUAACUAUUGGAAACGAUAGCUAAUACCGCAUGACAACAGUUAUUGCAUGAUAACUGUUUAAAAGGGGCAACUGCUCCACUACCAGAUGGACCUGCGUUGUAUUAGCUAGUUGGUGAGGUAACGGCUCACCAAGGCGACGAUACAUAGCCGACCUGAGAGGGUGAUCGGCCACACUGGGACUGAGACACGGCCCAGACUCCUACGGGAGGCAGCAGUAGGGAAUCUUCGGCAAAGGACGGAAGUCUGACCGAGCAACGCCGCGUGAGUGAAGAAGGUUUUCGGAUCGUAAAGCUCUGUUGUAAGAGAAGAACGAGUGUGAGAGUGGAAAGUUCACACUGUGACGGUAUCUUACCAGAAAGGGACGGCUAACUACGU